rnacentral:rRNA from 1 species
CGGCACGCCUAACACAUGCAAGUCGAACGAAGUAGCAAUACUUAGUGGCAGACGGGUGAGUAACAUGUGGGUAUCUGCCCUUUGGCCUGGAAUAACACGAGGAAACUUGUGCUAAUACCGGAUAAGUCUUUACGGAGAAAGCUUUAUGCACCAUUGGAUGAGCCCGCACUUGAUUAGUUUGUUGGUGGGGUAAUGGCCUACCAAGACUGUGAUCAAUAGCUGAUUUGAGAGGAUGAUCAGCCACAUUGGGACUGAGACACGGCCCAAACUCCUACGGGAGGCAGCAGUGGGGAAUCUUGCACAAUGGAGGAAACUCUGAUGCAGCGAUGCCGCGUGAGUGAAGAAGGCCUUUGGGUUGUAAAGCUCUUUCGUCGGGGAAGAAAAUGACUGUACCCGAAUAAGAAGGUCCGGCUAACUUCGUGCCAGCAGCCGCGGUAAUACGAAGGGACCUAGCGUAGUUCGGAAUUACUGGGCUUAAAGAGUUCGUAGGUGGUUGAAAAAGUUGGUGGUGAAAUCCCAGAGCUUAACUCUGGAACUGCCAUCAAAACUUUUCAGCUAGAGUAUGAUAGAGGAAAGCAGAAUUUCUAGUGUAGAGGUGAAAUUCGUAGAUAUUAGAAAGAAUACCAAUUGCGAAGGCAGCUUUCUGGAUCAUUACUGACACUGAGGAACGAAAGCAUGGGUAGCGAAGAGGAUUAGAUACCCUCGUAGUCCAUGCCGUAAACGAUGUGUGUUAGACGUUGGAAAUUUAUUUUCAGUGUCGCAGCGAAAGCGAUAAACACACCGCCUGGGGAG